AAAAAGUUGCCCCAAAUACUGACGGUGUUGCAGUUGCAUUAAUGAGGGAUUUGAAACAAACACCCGUAUCCCAACAUUUAAUAUCAUUUAACUAUGAGAAUUUCAACCCUUUUAAUGGCUAUUGGAAAACAAAGCGCAAUGAAAUACAACGUCAUAAUUUAUACAGAAAUCGCAGUUUCUCUUCAGGUUUCUCUUUUUUUCUAAUACCGCAUAAACGCCUGUAGAUGCCCAUUUGUGCCUUUUAGUUUUUACCUUGAAAAGAAGAAACGCCACAUUGAAUUAGGCCUACCUGCAAGGUGUGGCUCCUGCGUCGGAUCAAGACGCGAUGAAUAGCUAUAAAUUCACACCCUAAUAGAUGUCAAAACAUAUUGCAGUCAACUUGAUUUAGAAAUUACAACAAAAUAAAGGAUUUUUGAAUGAAAUGACAAAUACAGUAAAAAUCACAAAAAUAAUUUUACGGAACGACUUGCUGUUGUGAAGCUUAAAAAAUUAAGUGAUUCAGAGUUUAAUCGCAAAUAAUCCAGAAUUAGUAAUAGACCUAUACAUUUAAAAUAUAUAUUUUUGAUCAUAUAAGUUUUGAAUGGCCAGUAGCUAAAUUUAGUUGCCAGUGCCAAAUUUGACCAUUGAGUGAAAAAUAAUCUCAACGUUUGCAUUUCUCCAUGAACAGGGGGCAUUUGGAUUUUCUCACCUAAGGCAUAUGGCUCAAAUCUGACCUGUUGUUUUGAGACCCAUUUGGCAAACCACUCAGUUUCUUAUCAUCUCAGCAGGCCACGUGGAUCCGGCUGCACAAGAAUAUGGUCAGAAAAGGAAAUUAAUAUUGUUGAUGAAAAUGACGAUGUAGAUGAGAAGAAAGUUGUAUUUCUUGGACCCGAGAAGUUAAUUCUAAGAAACCCGAAUGAAGAGAUCGGAAAUCUCACAUACAGAGAGGACUGUCUAAACACUGGGAAAGGUUACACUGCAAAAUGUAAUGAUCCGUGUCCUGCUUUCGUUGUGUCGUCCACUGCUCCAGCUGAUAGAGAUCAGAGUAUCAAGUAUGAUAUUGGCCUGAUCAUCAUCCUCAUUGUUGUCAUCAUCACCACCCCCAUCAUAGUCAUCAUCUGUUACAGAAAACGCAAGUGUCCAGCUUUAAAUCUUCCUUUCAGGUGCAGUUGGAGAGCAGUGGCACUUAAUGAAACUGUCCUGGGUAUUAAUCCUUGAAUUAAAUUGAUUUAAUGAAUUUAAAUUAAACGUAUUAAAGCUGUGGAAGCUAAUAAUAGUA